rnacentral:rRNA from 1 species
CUAGUAACGGCGAGUGAAGAGGGAAGAGCCCAAGAUUGAAAGCUGGCGUCUUCGGCGUCCGCAUUGUAAUCUCAAGAAGUGUUUUCCGCUUCGGACCAUGCCUAAGUCCCUUGGAAAAGGGCAUCAUAGAGGGUGAUAAUCCCGUACAUGGCAUGGAGCGCCCGGAGCUUUGUGAUACGCUUUCUAAGAGUCGAGUUGUUUGGGAAUGCAGCUCAAAAUGGGUGGUAAAUGCCAUCUAAGGCUAAAUAUUGGGGAGAGACCGAUAGCGAACAAGUACAGUGAUGGAAAGAUGAAAAGAACUUUGAAAAGAGAGUUAAACAGUACGUGAAAUUGCCAAAAGGGAAGGGUAGGAGGUCAGAGAUGCGUCUUGGGAUUCAGCCUUGCUUUUGCUUGGUGUUUUUCCCAAGUUGCAGGCCAACGUCGGUUUUGGGCACUGGAGAAGGGUGGAAGGAACGUGGCACCCCUCGGGGUGUGUUAU